UAAUAUGCAUUUUAGAUAGAGAGAUUGCAGUUGCAAAGAAAGUUCAUACUACAUAGACUGGUGGAUAUUGCACAACUUUGAUAUGACAAUAAGAAAACUGAUGCAUCCCAUGAUCAAGAUGGUCACUAAAAACAUGCAGAAUUAAAUGAGUUGUUCAGCCUUUAAGUGGGUUUUCCAAUUUAUUUUUUUAACUCCUGACCUAACCUCUGGAUAGGUCCUCAGUAUCUGAUCAGUGGGGAACUGCCCAUCAGCUGUUUAAUACCACUAGAGCUCACAGUAGUGGCUUCAACUAGGCCAUAUGUUGUCAUGUUCAUGGGUCACAUGGCCUAGGCGCCUUCUCAAACAUCUGACUGGCAGGAGUCCUGGCUUGAGACCUUCAAAGUGAUGGCCUAUCCUAGGGAUUUGUCAUCACUAGCUGAUCUGCAGUCGCUGGAAGUUAGCGCCGGAGCACUGUCAACAUUGUAGUGGACAGUGCUCGUAACUGUAGUGUUGCUCCUAUUCACUUAAAUGGGAGCAGUGCUGCAGUGACAGUGCUGAUAUCUAGCAAUGAAUCAUAUUGAAACCA